rnacentral:misc_RNA from 1 species
AUAAUAAAGUAGUCAAUCUCAAAUAUUAAACGUCAUUAAGAAGAUGUAUGAGUGGGUGAUUACAAUGUAGAAACAAUGGGAGGGGAUGCAAACGAGUUCAACAUAAUAGUGUGUUUACAUUAAGGAUUAUCUUUGAGUCCAUACCUAAUUUGCCUUAGUUAUAGAUGAGCUAACCAUCCAUAUUGUCCCAUGGUUCAUUUUAUUUGUAGAUAAUAUUGUCUUA